rnacentral:rRNA from 1 species
GACGAACGCUGGCGGCGUGCUUAACACAUGCAAGUCGAAGAUAGUGGCGAACGGGUGAGUAAUACGUGGGUAACCUGCCCUCCUUUUUGGGAUAAGCCUUGGAAACGGGGUCUAAUACCGAAUAAAGGGGGAUGGGCUCGUGGCCUAUCAGCUUGUUGGUGGGGUGAUGGCCUACCACGGCGGUGACGGGUAGCCGGGCUGAGUGGGUGACCGGCCAAAUUGGGACUGAGAGACGGCCCAGACUCCUACGGGAGGUAGCAGUGGGUGAUAUUGCACAAUGGGCGAAAGCCUGAUGCAGCGACGCCGCUUGGGGGAUGAAGGCUUUCGGGUUGUAAAGCUCUAUCAGGACAGAUGCGGUACCGGAAUAGAAUGCCACGGCUAACUACGUGCCAGCCGCCGCGGUAAUUC